rnacentral:lncRNA from 1 species
GAAAGUGUUUGGGGGGAAGGGGAGUGAUUUCAUGGGCCAAGAUGGCAGUGGUAGCCAGAGUCCCCUUGAGGUACAGUCUCAUCCCAGGAGUUACUCUCCAGGGCCCAGGUACAGCCUGCCAGGAGACCCAAACAGCAGUCACUGCAUCUCCCAUCUCAAGAAUCUACAGAUGGGACCUGACAAGCCUGGAGCCUAUAGAAGUGAAGACCAUGAGGCCUCUGAGGAUCAGGGCUAUCAGCAGACUGUGAGCAAAUGUCAGCAUGAUGAAGUUCUGUGUUGAUCCUGUUACAAUGGAAAAGGAAACUGAGUGAGGAACCAC